AACACACUCCAAUCAUCUUUGCUCUCUCAUACACACAACACCCAAAACACCUACUUAUCACGGCAAACACCAUUUUUAGCUUGGACGGAGGUUUCAAGCUCCGAUUUGAGCACCGAGACGAGCACCGAUCAUCUUUUCGAUCACGUAUCUAAGUAGGUCCUUUUGGGAAGUAACGACUUGAGGGAGAGAGUGACGUUACUCAUUGAUACAGAGACACAACGAGGUUGAGCUGAUGUGAUGAUGGUGCUGCAAUGAGCGGAGUCUCCAGGGUUGUUAAUAAAUAGUUAACAUGUCUAGAAUAUGUCUUCAUACAUAUGUCUAGCUACUUUCCGCUGCAACAUGUUGUUGAUGUUAUAGUAUGUUAUGUCAUACUUUUAGUCUUAAGAGAAUGGUUUCAUAUGAUGUAUAACUUGAUUAAUGAUAUUAAUUAAGUUUUAUGUUGUCUUUCA